CACACACACACACACACACACACACACACACACACACACACACACACACACACACACACACACACACACACACACACACACACACACACAUACACACACACACAGACACACGGAUAUACACACAUACACACACACACACACACACAGACGUACGUAUAUACACACACACAGAUGUACGGAUAUACACACACACACACACAGACGUACGGAUAUACACACACACACAGACGUUGGGAUAUACACACACACACAGACGUACGGAUAUACACACACACACACAGAAGUACGGAUAUACACACACACACAGACGUACGGAUAUACACACACACACACAGACGUUGGGAUAUACACACACACACAGACAAGUACGGAUAUACACACACACACAGACGUACGGAUAUACACACACACACACACAGAAGUACGGAUAUACACACACACACAGACGUACGGAUAUACACACACACACACAGACGUAUGGAUACACACACACACAGACGUUGGGAUAUGCACACACACACACAGACGUAUGGAUACACACACACACAGACGUUGGGAUAUGCACACACACACAGACAUACGGAUAUGCACACACACACAGACAUACGGAUAUACACACACACACAGACGUACGGAUAUACACACACACACACAGAAGUACGGAUAUACACACACACACACAGACGUACGGAUAUACACACACACACACACACAGACGUUGGGAUACACACACACACACAGACGUACGGAUAUACACACACGCACAGACGUACGGAUAUACACACACACACACAGACGUACGGAUAUACACACACACACAGACGUACGGAUAUACACACACACACACACAUAAACAGACACACACACACCUCCGUUUGACCUCCAGUCGACAGGCCAUGUCACAGGCUGUCGUCUUGUCUUCAUCUCUGUUGCUCUCAUCUUCUCCUCUAACGCAUCCUCUUCUCCCAUUAACACAUUCUCCUUCUUCCAUCACUGCUAUAUCUGACUCAAAAACCGUGCGCGUGUGUGUGAUUGAUCAUCUCCAGUCGGGCUGUGAUCAGUAAUCAGAGGCAGAGCAUCUUUCAGAACUUUAGUAGCUGUCAUGGUGUGUUUCAUUGUUUGGUCGUGAGUAGCACCAACAGCUGAAGAGAGGAGACUGUUAAGUCACUCUGUCUGUCUGUCUGUCUGGCUGUCUGUCUGGCUGGCUGUCUCUGUCUGGCUGGCUGUCUGGCUGUCUGUCUGGCUGUCUGUCUGUCUGGCUGGCUGGCUGUCUCUGUCUGGCUGGCUGGCUGUCUCUGUCUGGCUGGCUGGCUGGCUGUCUCUGUCUGGCUGUCUGGCUGGCUGUCUGUCUCUGUCUGUCUGUCUGGCUGGCUGUCUCUGUCUGGCUGGCUGGCUGACUGGCUCUCUCUCUCUCUCUCUCUCUCUCUCUGGAAGUGUGUUGUCACUUUCACAGCUCUGCCAGGGACCAUUACAAUAUGGUGACUAGGAACACCACUAGCAACAACGUCUCUAUAUUCACAACAACACAAUCCCUACAUCUCUUCAGAUUUGAUGCAAUUCUAUUGUGCAAAACGCUCCAUUGAGGACUGAUAGGAGAGGGCAGCGUAUAAAUUAAGGGUCAAUAGCACUUCUGAAUUGAGCCUCUGAUUCAAUCCGGGAUUCAAUCCGAUCGCCUCUUUUAGGCUAUGCACCUUUUUAAAGGCAAUGUUCCCCAUGUUCGCGGUGACCACAUUUAUGUUAAACACUGCAUAUGUCAGCUCAAUCAGAAAUUACCUUUAAAUGUCAAAGCAAACUAAUAAAGCAGAGCUAACCGCUGAUUGGAUAGAAUGCCAGAGGGCUCAAUUUGAAAAACAACGUAUUGUCUGUGCACACAAUCAUAGAAAAGAUGGACGCAAUUUAUUUACCUUUAAAACAUGUUCCCUGUCAUUUUAGUUAUGCAACCUUUAUAUGCAGUAUGGAGCAGCUGAUGAUUUCAGCAGAUCUGUGAUUAAUGCGGCUUUUAAAGGUUCACGUUUUUUAAUGUCACGUGCACAAGUAUAGUGAAAUGCCUUUCUGUGUGUGUGUGUGUGUGUGUGUGUGUGUGUGUGUGUGUGUGUGUGUGUGUGUGUGUGUGUGUGUGUGUGUGUGUGUGUGUGUGUGUGUGUGUGUGUGUGUGUGUGUGUGUGUGUGUGUGUGUGUGUGUGUGUGUGUGUGUGUGAUCUUUAUCACGGAGGACAGCUGUUGAUCUGGCCGGAGAGGACACGUUCAGCACCGCCUGUUAAUGAGUCCUAUUGUGUAAAAAUGAGUCCUAUUGUGUGUGUUGGACUGUCAGUGACUGUGCAGGGCCCUGUCAGUGUGUGUGACUGUGCAGGGCCCUGUCAGUGUGUGUGACUGUGCAGGGCCCUGUCAGUGUGUGUGACUGUGCAGGGCCCUGUCAGUGUGUGUGACUGUGCAGGGCCCUGUCAGUGUGUGUGACUGUGCAGGGCCCUGUCAGUGUGUGUGACUGUGCAGGCCCCUGUCAGUGUGUGUGACUGUGCAGGGCCCUGUCAGUGUGUGUGACUGUGCAGGGCCCUGUCAGUGUGUGUGACUGUGCAGGGCCCUGUCAGUGUGUGUGACUGUGCAGGGCCCUGUCAGUGUGCAUAGAGACAGUGAAAAAAAUAAACCACAAGGGUCAACUCAGAUAGUCUGUGUUGUUCAGCGGUCGUAUGGCUUGGGGAUAGAAACUGUUCAGGGGCCUGUUGGUGUCAGAUUUCAUGCACCGGUACCGUGCGGAAGCAGAGAGAACAGUCUAUGGGUUGGCUGGAGUCGUUGACGCUUUUCCGGGCCUUCCUUUCACACCACCUGAUAUUUUGGUCCUGGAUGGCAGAGAGGUCGGCCCCAGUGAUGUACUGGGCUAGCUGCACCACCCUCUGUAGCGCCAUGCGAUCAGGGGCGGUGCUAUUACUAUACCAGGCGGUGAUGCAGCCAGUCAAGAUGCUCUCGAUGGUGCAGCUGUAUAAAUUAUUGAGGAUUUGAGGGCCCAUGCCAAAUCUUUUCAACCUCCUGAGGGGGAAGAGGCGCUGUUGUUCCUUCUUCAUGACUGUGCGCGUGUGUAGACCAUGUUAAUUCCUUAGUGAUUUGGACAACGAGGACAAUCUCACAUUGGCCUCGGAGAGUGAGAUCACCAAAUCUUCAGGGUCGGUUGGCAAACCUCACACCCGGCACAAAUGUUGUUAUUGUUGAAGCGUUCAUAAAAUGCACUGAGUUGGUCUUGUAGAGAGGCAUCGCUGGGUAGAUCACGGCUGGGUCUUCCUUUGUAAACCGUAAUGGACUGUAGCCCCUGCAACAUACUGCGGGCGUCAGAGCCUGUGAAAUAUGAUUCCACCUAAAUUGUCCUUUUGCUCGUCUGAUGACUGCAGUGGUCAUAGCGGAACUUCUUCUACUUGUUACUGUCGUCAGCCGUAGCUUCAGGGUUGUCUGGGAUAAGUAAUAUUCCUGUCGUCAGCCGUAGCUUCAGGGUUGUCUGGGAUAAGUAAUGUUCCUGUCCUCAGCUGUAGCUACAGGGUUGUCUGGGUGAAGUAAUGUUCCUGUCCUCAGCUGUAGCUACAGGGUUGUCUGGGAUAAGUAAUGUUCCUGUCCUCAGCUGUAGCUACAGGGUUGUCUGGGAUAAGUAAUGUUCCUGUCCUCAGCCGUAGCUACAGGGUUGUCUGGGAUAAGUAAUGUUCCUGUCCUCAGCCGUAGCUCCAGGGUUGUCUGGGAUAAGUAAUGUUCCUGUCCUCAGCCGUAGCUACAGGGUUGUCUGGGAUAAGUAAUGUUCCUGUCCUCAGCCGUAGCCUCCGAGUUGUCUGGGAUAAGUAAUGUUCCUGUCCUCAGCCGUAGCCUCCGGGUUGUCUGGGAUAAGUAAUGUUCCUGUCCUCAGCUGUAGCCUCCAGGUUGUCUGGGAUAAGUAAUAUUCCUGUCCUCAGCAGUAGCUUCAGGGUUGUCUGGGAUAAGUAAUGUUCCUGUCCUCAGCCUGUCAGCUACAGGGUUGUCUGGGAUAAGUAAUGUUCCUGUCCUCAGCUGUAGCUCCAGGGUUGUCUGGGAUAAGUAAUGUUCCUGUCCUCAGCCGUAGCUCCAGGGUUGUCUGGGAUAAGUAAUGUUCCUGUCCUCAGCUGUAGCCUCAGGGUUAUCUGGGAUAAGUAAUGUUCCUGUCCUCAGCCGUAGCCUCCGAGGGUUGUCUGGGAUAAGUAAUGUUCCUGUCCUCAGCUGUAGCCUCAGCUGUAG
ensembl:lncRNA